GAGGGUAUGGCUCAAAUGGUAGAGCACACGCUUAGCAUGCAUGAGGUCCUGGGUUCAAUCCCCGGUACCGCCU
rnacentral:tRNA from 1 species